AGGACGAACGCUGGCGGCGUGCUUAACACAUGCAAGUCGAGCGAGGCCCCUUCCUUCGGGAGGGAGCCCUAGCGGCGAACGGGUGAGUAACACGUGGGCAAUCUGCCCCUAGCACUGGGAUAACUCCGGGAAAACCGGGGCUAAUACCGGAUAUGACCUCUGAGGGCAUCCUCUGGAGGUGGAAAGGAUUCUGGCUAGGGAUGAGCCCGCGGCCUAUCAGCUAGGUUGGUGGGGUAAUGGCCUACCAAGGCGACG
rnacentral:rRNA from 1 species